rnacentral:rRNA from 1 species
UACAGAGGGUGCGAGCGUUGUCCGGAAUCACUGGGCGUAAAGGGCGCGUAGGUGGCGGCCCAAGUCCAUGGUGAAAGCUCGAUGCUCAACAUCGAGUCGGCCACGGAUACUGGGUUGCUCGAGCACUGUAGAGGCAGAUGGAAUUCCGGGUGUAGCGGUGGAAUGCGUAGAGAUCCGGAAGAACACCGGUGGCGAAGGCGGUCUGCUGGGCAGUAGCUGACACUGAGGCGCGACAGCGUGGGGAGCAAACAGG